rnacentral:hammerhead_ribozyme from 1 species
ACCCGGUUGACGAGUCCCAAAUAGGACGAAAUGCGCAUCUUGGAU